CCUACGGGAGGCAGCAGUGGGGAAUAUUGGGCAAUGGGCGCAAGCCUGACCCAGCAACGCCGCGUGAAGGAAGAAGGCUUUCGGGUUGUAAACUUCUUUUCUCAGGGACGAAGAAAGUGACGGGACCUGAGGAAUAAGCCACGGCUAACUACGUGCCAGCAGCCGCGGUAAUACGGAGGUGGCGAGCGUUAUCCGGAUUUAUUGGGUAUAAGGGGUGCGUAGGCGGAUUAUUAAGUCAGCGGUAAAAUGUCCGGGCUCAACCCCGGCCGGCCGUUGAAACUGGGGAUCUUGAGUGGGUGAGAAGUAUGCGGAAUGCGUGGUGUAGCGGUGAAAUGCAUAGAUAUCACGAAGAACUCCGAUUGCGAAGGCAGCCUACCG
rnacentral:rRNA from 1 species